CCUACGGGAGGCUGCAGUGAGGAAUAUUGGUCAAUGGGCGCGAGCCUGAACCAGCCAAGUCGCGUGAGGGAAGACGGUCCUAUGGAUUGUAAACCUCUUUUGUCGGGGAGCAAAAGACGCCACGCGUGGCGUUCCGAGAGUACCCGAAGAAAAAGCAUCGGCUAACUCCGUGCCAGCAGCCGCGGUAAUACGGAGGAUGCGAGCGUUAUCCGGAUUUAUUGGGUUUAAAGGGUGCGUAGGCUGUGAGGUAAGUCAGCGGUGAAAUGCCCCCGCUCAACGGGGUGAAGUGCCAUUGAUACUGCCUUGCUGGAAUGCGGAUGCCGUGGGAGGAAUGUGUGGUGUAGCGGUGAAAUGCAUAGAUAUCACACAGAACACCGAUUGCGAAGGCAUCUCACGAAUCCGCGAUUGACGCUGAUGCACGAAAGCGUGGGUAUCAAACAGGAUUAGAUACCCUGGUAGUC
rnacentral:rRNA from 1 species